GAUGAACGCUGGCGGCGUGCCUAAUACAUGCAAGUCGAGCGAACGGACGAGAAGCUUGCUUCUCUGAUGUUAGCGGCGGACGGGUGAGUAACACGUGGAUAACCUACCUAUAAGACUGGGAUAACUUCGGGAAACCGGAGCUAAUACCGGAUGAUAUUUUGAACCGCAUGGUUCAAAAGUGAAAGACGGUCUUGCUGUCACUUAUAGAUGGAUCCGCGCUGCAUUAGCUAGUUGGUAAGGUAACGGCUUACCAAGGCAACGAUGCAUAGCCGACCUGAGAGGGUGAUCGGCCACACUGGAACUGAGACACGGUCCAGACUCCUGCAGGAGGCAGCAGUAGGGAAUCUUCCGCAAUGGGCGAAAGCCUGACGGAGCAACGCCGCGUGAGUGAUGAAGGUCUUCGGAUCGUAAAACUCUGUUAUUAGGGAAGAACAUAUGUGUAAGUAACUGUGCACAUCUUGACGGUACCUAAUCAGAAAGCCACGGCUAACUACGUG
rnacentral:rRNA from 1 species